rnacentral:rRNA from 1 species
CCUACGGGAGGCAGCAGUAGGGAAUCUUUCACAAUGGGCGAAAGCCUGAUGGAGCAACGCCGCGUGCAGGAUGAAGGCCUUCGGGUUGUAAACUGCUUUUAUAAGCGAGAAAUAUGAUGGUAACUUAUGAAUAAGGAUCGGCUAACUACGUGCCAGCAGCCGCGGUCAUACGUAGGAUCCGAGCAUUAUCCGGAGUGACUGGGUGUAAAGAGUUGCGUAGGUGGCAUAAUAAGUAGCUAGUGAAAUCUGGUGGCUCAACCAUUCAGACUAUUAGCUAAACUGUUAAGCUCGAGACCGUUAGGGGUAACUGUAAUUUCUAGUGUAGGAGUGAAAUCCGUAGAUAUUAGAAGGAACACCAAUAGCGUAGGCAGGUUGCUGGGACGGUUCUGACACUAAGGUACGAAAGCGUAGGGAGCAAACGGGAUUAGAUACCCGAGUAGUC